AUGGCAAUCCCAAAGACCAAGGGAGGUAUGGGAUUCAGAGAUUUGGAAGUUUUCAAUGAUUCAAUGCUGGCCAAACAGGCUUGGAGACUGUUGGAAUACCCGGACAGCUUAUGUGCGAGGGUUUUGAAAGGGAGGUACUACCCUGAUGGUGAGUUUCUCUCUGCGAACUGCCCCGCAAGUGCUUCUCGCACUUGGAAGGCAAUCAUGUGUGGG
rnacentral:rRNA from 1 species